UGGGGAAUCUUCCGCAAUGGGCGAAAGCCUGACGGAGCAAUGCCGCGUGAACGAAGAAGGUCUUCGGAUUGUAAAGUUCUGUCCUAGCCGAAGAGAGGUCAUGGGAGUAACUGCCCGUGAUAGGACGGUAGGCUAGGAGGAAGCCCCGGCUAACUACGUGCCAGCAGCCGCGGUAAAACGUAGGGGGCAAGCGUUGUCCGGAAUCACUGGGCGUAAAGGGCGCGUAGGCGGCAAUAUAAGUCAGGUGUGAAAAGUCAGGGCUCAACCUUGACCCUGCACCUGAUACUGUAUAGCUUGAGGAUGAGAGAGGGAAGCGGAAUUCCUAGUGUAGCGGUGAAAUGCGUAGAUAUUAGGAAGAACACCAGUGGCGAAGGCGGCUUUCUGGCUCAUAACUGACGCUGAGGCGCGAAAGCGUGGGGAGCAAACAGG
rnacentral:rRNA from 1 species